UACAGAGGUCUCGAGCGUUGUUCGGAUUCAUUGGGCGUAAAGGGUGCGUAGGUGGCUAGGUAAGUCGGAUGUGAAAAUCCCGGGGCUCAACCCCGGAACUGCAUUCGAUACUGCCUGGCUAGAGUACUGGAGAGGAGAUUGGAAUUUACGGUGUAGCAGUGAAAUGCGUAGAUAUCGUAAGGAAGACCAGUGGCGAAGGCGGAUCUCUGGACAGUUACUGACACUGAGGCACGAAGGCCAGGGGAGCAAACGGG
rnacentral:rRNA from 1 species